rnacentral:rRNA from 1 species
CAGCCGCCACGGUAAUACGUAGGUGGCAAGCGUUGUCCGGAAUUAUUGGGCGUAAAGCGCGCGCAGGCGGAUAGGCCAGUCUGUCUUAAAAGUUCGGGGCUUAACCCCGUGAUGGGAUGGAAACUGCCAAUCUAGAGUAUCGGAGAGGAAAGUGGAAUUCCUAGUGUAGCGGUGAAAUGCGUAGAUAUUAGGAAGAACACCGGUGGCGAAGGCGACUUUCUGGACGAAAACUGACGCUGAGGCGCGAAAGCCAGGGGAGCGAACGGGAUUAGAUACCCCCGUAGUCCCUGUCUCUUAUACC